rnacentral:rRNA from 1 species
GUAGGUGCAAGCGUUGUCCGGAAUUUAUUGGGCGUAAAGCGCGCGCAGGCGGUUCUUUAAGUCUGAUGUGAAAGCCCACGGGCUCAACCGUGGAGGGUCAUUGGAAACUGGAGAACUUGAGUACAGAAGAGGAAAGCGGAAUUCCACGUGUAGCGGUGAAAUGCGUAGAGAUGUGGAGGAACACCAGUGGCGAAGGCGGCUUUCUGGUCUGUAACUGACGCUGAGGCGCGAAAGCGUGGGGAGCAAACAGGAUUAGAUACCCUGGUAGUCCACGCCGUAAACGAUGAGUGCUAAGUGUUAGGGGGUUUCCGCCCCUUAGUGCUGCAGCUAACGCAUUAAGCACUCCGCCUGGGGAGUACGGCCGCAAGGCUG